AGAGUUAAACAGUACGUGAAAUUGUUGAAAGGGAAACGAUUGAAGCCAGUCAUGCUGGCGGGAAAUCAGCUUUCGGGAUUACUGAAGGUGCACUUUCUCGCAAGGCAGGUUAGCAUCAAUUUCGCACGUUGUAAAAAGUCCGUCGGAAUGUGACUCCUUUCGGAGUGUUAUAGCCAGCGGUCAAUGCGACGAGUGGGAUUGAGGAUUGCAGCGGGUGCCUUUUAGGCUAAGUGCCUGGCCCUUGUUCGUGAUCGUCUUGGCAACAGCGUGCUGGUGUCGAGAACGAUUCGUGGACACGGGGUGUAGCGUCACGAUAAACUCGCUAAGGAUGUUGACAUAAUGGCUUUAAACGACC
rnacentral:rRNA from 1 species